rnacentral:rRNA from 1 species
UACGGAGGGGGCUAGCGUUGUUCGGAAUUACUGGGCGUAAAGCGCACGUAGGCGGCUUUGUAAGUUAGAGGUGAAAGCCCGGGGCUCAACUCCGGAAUUGCCUUUAAGACUGCAUCGCUCGAAUUGUGGAGAGGUAAGUGGAAUUCCGAGUGUAGAGGUGAAAUUCGUAGAUAUCGGGAGGAACACCAGUGGCGAAGGCGGCGAUCUGGGAAGAUACUGACGCUGAGGUGCGAAAGCGUGGGGAGCAAACAGG